rnacentral:rRNA from 1 species
UACAGAGGUCCCGAGCGUUGUUCGGAUUCAUUGGGCGUAAAGGGUGCGUAGGCGGCGGGGCAAGUCUGAUGUGAAAUCCUGGGGCUCAACCCCAGAACUGCAUUGGAUACUGCUUUGCUAGAGUACUGGAGAGGGAACUGGAAUUUACGGUGUAGCAGUGAAAUGCGUAGAGAUCGUAAGGAAGGCCAGUGGCGAAGGCGAGUUCCUGGACAGUGACUGACGCUGAGGCACGAAGGCCAGGGGAGCAAACGGGG